AAAUAUUUUUAUAAUUAAAAUAUGAUAGUAGUGAUAUUUAUUGAACUUAAAGAAAUCGUGAAACUUAUGAAAAGUAUUAGAAUUAACAAAUUUUUAAAAUCUUAUGAAAUAUUUAUAGAUAAAAGAUUAAAGUUUAUUUUGAAAUAUCAAAAAUUAUUAAGUUUGAUUCAUUAGAUAAUUUGUAAAUACAAAUCAAUAUGGCAAUUUUAUUAUCAAACUUUAAGAAAACUAAUUUUAUAUGAAUAAAAAUAAUUUUUGAAUUAUAUAUGAAUAAAGUCCUAUAUUCAAAAUUAACAUUUGAUAUUUAUUGAAAUCUAUUAAGACACAAAAAAAACUUAAUAAUUUAAUUUUGAUUACCUAACCUAAUAUAACUUGUGUAGUAGUGAUAAAAAUUUAAUAAAAAAAGGAAAUUAAAAGAAAAAGGAAAAUAAGAAAAAAAUUAUUUUUCAAUAAAUAGUAUUUAUAAGCAACAUUUAAUUAUAUAUUAUUUUAUUAUUAUAUGGAAAAAACUUACUGCAUCCUUUCCACAAUAGUUUUAUUAUUUUCAAGUCAAUGAUGAAUAUUACCGCACUUAUUAACACCGCUGAAAGAGUGGAACGUGGAAUAUAAUAAAAAUAUGGUGUUAAGAAACUCAAUGCCAGUAAUGUCAUAAUUCCUAAAAAAAUAUUUAUAUUAUAAUACUAUUUAUUUAUAAUUAUUUGAUAAAAGGAAAGAGAAAUUAUAUUAUAUAUUUAUAAAUUAUAAUUUAUAAAUUAUAUCAUAUAUAAAGAAAAAAAAAAAAUAAAGGGAAAUUUUUCAAAGAAAAACCAAUAAAAAUAUCUAUA